AGUGGCGGACGGGUGAGUAACGCGUAAGAAUCUAACUUCAGGACGGGGACAACAGUUGGAAACGACUGCUAAUACCCGAUGUGCCGCAAGGUGAAACCUAAUUGGCCUGGAGAAGAGCUUGCGUCUGAUUAGCUAGUUGGUGGGGUAAAGGCCUACCAAGGCGACGAUCAGUAGCUGGUCUGAGAGGAUGAGCAGCCACACUGGGACUGAGACACGGCCCAGACUCCUAUGGGAGGCAGCAGUGGGGAAUUUUCCGCAAUGGGCGAAAGCCUGACGGAGCAACGCCGCGUGAGGGAGGAAGGUCUUUGGAUUGUAAACCUCUUUUCUCAAGGAAGAAGUUCUGACGGUACUUGAGGAAUCAGCCUCGGCUAACUCCGUGCCAGCAGCCGCGGUAAUACGGGGGAGGCAAGCGUUAUCCGGAAUUAUUGGGCGUAAAGCGUCCGCAGGUGGUCAGCCAAGUCUGCCGUCAAAUCAGGUUGCUUAACGACCUAAAGGCGGUGGAAACUGGCAGACUAGAGAGCAGUAGGGGUAGCAGGAAUUCCCAGUGUAGCGGUGAAAUGCGUAGAGAUUGGGAAGAACAUCGGUGGCGAAAGCGUGCUACUGGGCUGUAUCUGACAUUCAGGGACGAAAGCUAGGGGAGCGAAAGGGAUUAGAUACCCCUGUAGUCCUAGCCGUAAACGAUGGAUACUAGGCGUGGCUU
rnacentral:rRNA from 1 species